GACCUGGGCGCAGCCUGUUCCAGCCAUGCCGCGUGAGUGCUUCAGGCCUUCGGGUUGUAAAGCUCUUUCACCCACGACGAUAAUGACGGUAGUGGUAUAAGAAGCCCCGGCUAACUUCGUGCCAGCAGCCGCGGUAAUACUUACAGCCGCGGUGACUCCAGCAGUACGCGGU
rnacentral:rRNA from 1 species